GACGAACGCUGGCGGCGUGCCUAACACAUGCAAGUCGAGCGAAGAAACGAGACGUUCCCUUCGCGGAUGUAAGGGGCGGGCGGGUGAGACACGCGUGCACAACCCCCCUAACCGGGUGAGAUCAAUUAGAGACAGCGUAGCAAAUACGGUACAAUAUUUUGAUCCGUAUGGUUCAUAAGGGAAAGUCGGUCUUGCGGUCAGUUAUAGCUGCAUCCGCGCUUCAUUAGUUAGUUGGUAAGGUAACGGCUUACCAAGGCAACGAUGCCUAGCCGACCUGAGAGGAUGAUCAGCCACACUGGAACUGAGACACGGUCCAGACUCCUACGGGAGGCAGCAGUGGGGAAUCUUCCGCAAUGGGCGAAAGCCUGACGCAGCAACGCCGCGUGAGGGAUGAAGGUCUUCGGGUCGUAAAACUCUUUUAUUAGGGAAGAACAUAUGUGUGAGAAACUGUGCACAUCUUGACGGUACCUAAACAGAAAGCCACGGCUAACUACGUG
rnacentral:rRNA from 1 species